UGAAGAGGAGAUCAGUUGCCUCUGCAGAAGGUGUCUGAGAAGGUGAUGUUGAAGGUGCCACGGGGUUAGACAAAAGGAGCAGAUCUUCAGUGUGUGUCCUCAGCCAGAUGCUGGAACAACUGGAAGGAUCGCAGAGUUGCACAGAGUGAGUGGGAAGAGAAG